GACGAACGCUGGCGGCGUGCCUAAUACAUGCAAGUCGAACGCAGUGGGGACGGGUGAGUAACACGUGGGUAACCUACCAUAAAAGGGGAAAACACUUGGAAACAGGUGCUAAACCGAUACUGAUAGAUAGACCAGCGGUGCAUUAGUUAGUGGGUGAGGUAAGGGCUCACCAAGGCCACGAUGCAUAGCCAACCUGAGAGGGUGAUCGGGCACACGGGGACGUAGAAACGGCCCAGACUCCUACUGGAGGCAGCAGUGGGGAAACUUCCGCAAUGGACGAAAGUCUGACCGAGCAACGCCGCGUGAGUGAAGAAGGUUUUCGGAUCGUAAAACUCUUUUGUUAGAGAAGCGGUAUCUAACCAGAAAGCCACGGCUAAAUACGUGCCAGCAGCCGCGGUAAUUC
rnacentral:rRNA from 1 species